GUGUGGGGUUGUAUGGGGGCUGUGUUUGUGUGACUCUUCAAAUGGGCACUUUAGAUUCAUUUACCACACAUGCCUUUCAAAUAUGUAUUUAUCUCACCCCCGAGGACGUGGGGGGCUAAAAAGUCAAACAACCCCGGCAGAAUAUAUCUGGUCUAGACAACCUCCUACGGUUUAAAACAUAUGUUAUUUGUAAUCAGUGUAUAUACAGGGCUAGUGAAACAAAUACUACCCCCUCUGUACGAACGGCAAACAGCCCAGAACAGCUCAAAGAUCAUCAGUGAAUCCGUCCUAAUAGAGCUUUCUGAAGUUGCUCAGGGGAAUAAAUGAUCUGGAACAGCCUUCGUUAGAAGGGGGUUCAGAGGAGCAAAACGCAUGCAGCCAGUCCCCAUCACAUUAUUGUAGACCUGACAUACCACCAAGAAGGAUAACAUUUACAUUUAAGUCAUUUAGCAGACGCUCUUAUCCAGAGCGACUUACAAAUUGGUGCAUUCACCUUAUGACAUCCAGUGGAACAGCCACUUUACAAUAGUGCAUCUAAAUCUUUUA